GACGAACGCUGGCGGCGUGCUUAACACAUGCAAGUCGAACGGAAAGGCCCUGCUUUUGUGGGGUGCUCGAGUGGCGAACGGGUGAGUAACACGUGAGUAACCUGCCCUUGACUUUGGGAUAACUUCAGGAAACUGGGGCUAAUACCGGAUAGGAGCUCCUGCUGCAUGGUGGGGGUUGGAAAGUUUCGGCGGUUGGGUAUGGACUCGCGGCUUAUCAGCUUGUUGGUGGGGUAGUGGCUUACCAAGGCUUUGACGGGUAGCCGGCCUGAGAGGGUGACCGGCCACAUUGGGACUGAGAUACGGCCCAGACUCCUAAGGGAGGCAGCAGUGGGGAAUAUUGCACAAUGGGCGGAAGCCUGAUGCAGCAACGCCGCGUGCGGGAUGACGGCCUUCGGGUUGUAAACCGCUUUCGCCUGUGACGAAGCGUGAGUGACGGUAAUGGGUAAAGAAGCACCGGCUAACUACGUG
rnacentral:rRNA from 1 species